rnacentral:rRNA from 1 species
GUGGGGAAUAUUGGGCAAUGGGCGCAAGCCUGACCCAGCAACGCCGCGUGAAGGAAGAAGGCUUUCGGGUUGUAAACUUCUUUUACCAGGGACGAAACAAAUGACGGUACCUGGUGAAUAAGCCACGGCUAACUACGUGCCAGCAGCCGCGGUAAUACGUAGGUGGCGAGCGUUAUCCGGAUUUAUUGGGUGUAAAGGGCGUGUAGGCGGGACAGCAAGUCAGAUGUGAAAACCAGAGGCUCAACCUCUGGCCUGCAUUUGAGACUGUUGUUCUUGAGGGUCGGAGAGGUAAUCGGAAUUCCGUGUGUAGCGGUGAAAUGCGUAGAUAUACGGAGGAACACCAGUGGCGAAGGCGGCUUACUGGACGAUAACUGACGUUGAGGCUCGAAGGCGUGGGGAGCAAACAGGAUUAGAUACCCCAGUAGUCC